rnacentral:rRNA from 1 species
GAUGAACGCCGGCGGUGUGCCUAAUACAUGCAAGUCGAGCGCACUGGCCCAACAGAAAUGACGUGCUUACACUGAUUUGACGUUGGAUUCCCAGUGAGCGGCGGACGGGUGAGUAACACGUGGGCAACCUGCCCCAAAGCGGGGGAUAACAUUUGGAAACAGGUGCUAAUACCGCAUAACUUGGAAAACCACAUGGUUUUCCAAUAAAAGAUGGUUUCGGCUAUCACUUUGGGAUGGGCCCGCGGUGCAUUAGCUAGUUGGUAAGGUAACGGCUUACCAAGGCGAUGAUGCAUAGCCGAGUUGAGAGACUGAUCGGCCACAAUGGAACUGAGACACGGUCCAUACUCCUACGGGAGGCAGCAGUAGGGAAUCUUCCACAAUGGGCGCAAGCCUGAUGGAGCAACACCGCGUGAGUGAAGAAGGGUUUCGGCUCGUAAAACUCUGUUGUUGGAGAAGAACGUGCGUAAGAGUAACUGUUUACGCAGUGACGGUAUCCAACCAGAAAGUCACGGCUAACUACGUGCCAGCAGCCGCGGUAAUACGUAGGUGGCAAGCGUUAUCCGGAUUUAUUGGGCGUAAAGCGAGCGCAGGCGGUUGCUUAGGUCUGAUGUGAAAGCCUUCGGCUUAACCGAAGAAGUGCAUCGGAAACCGGGCGACUUGAGUGCAGAAGAGGACAGUGGAACUCCAUGUGUAGCGGUGGAAUGCGUAGAUAUAUGGAAGAACACCAGUGGCGAAGGCGGCUGUCUGGUCUGCAACUGACGCUGAGGCUCGAAAGCAUGGGUAGCGAACAGG